UACGUAGGGCGCAAGCGUUAUCCGGAAUUAUUGGGCGUAAAGAGCUCGUAGGCGGUUUGUCGCGUCUGCCGUGAAAGUCCGGGGCUCAACUCCGGAUCUGCGGUGGGUACGGGCAGACUAGAGUGAUGUAGGGGAGACUGGAAUUCCUGGUGUAGCGGUGAAAUGCGCAGAUAUCAGGAGGAACACCGAUGGCGAAGGCAGUGUCCUGGGGAGUACCUGACGCUCAGGUGCGAAAGCCAGGGGAGCGAACGGG
rnacentral:rRNA from 1 species